AUACAUAGGGGGCAAGCGUUAUCCGGAAUUAUUGGGCGUAAAGCGUGCGUAGGCGGAAUAUUAAGUCAUUUGUAAAAGAUCUCGGCCCAACCGAGUAAGGCGAAUGAAACUGGUAAUCUUGAGUACGGUAGAGGUAAGUGGAAUUCCAAGUGUAGCGGUGGAAUGCGUAGAUAUUUGGAGGAACACCGAUGGCGAAGGCAGCUUACUGGGCCGGAACUGACGCUGAGGCACGAAAGCGUGGGUAGCAAACAGGAUUAGAUACCCUGGUAGUCCACGCCGUAAACGAUGAGAACUAAGUGUUGGAGUGAAAUUCAGUGCUGAAGUUAACGCAAUAAGUUCUCCGCCUGGGUAGUACGGUCGCAAGACUGAA
rnacentral:rRNA from 1 species